UACGGAGGAUCCAAGCGUUGUCCGGAUUUAUUGGGGUUAAAGGGUGCGUAGGCGGAUCUUUAAGUCAGUGGUGAAAUCCUGCAGCUUAACUGUAGAACAGCCAUUGAAACUGAGGAUCUUGAAUUUGGUUAAAGUAGGCGGAAUGUAUCAUGUAGCGGUGAAAUGCUUAGAUAUGAUACAGAACACCGAUAGCGAAGGCAGCUUGCUGAACCAAUAUUGACGCUGAGGCACGAAAGCGUGGGGAGCGAACAGG
rnacentral:rRNA from 1 species